GGCUGCGCGGCGCCAGGGGCGGGGGCCGAGGCGGCGACCAAUCUGCGCGAGGCUGGCGCGCCCCCUCCCGCCGCAGCCCGCCUCCGGCCCGGGGGGGGGGGCGGGUGUGGGGAAGCGGCGGCCCCCACCGACGCGCGGGCGGGAAGGGCUCCGGCCCGCGACCACGGAGCGGCGGCCCCGCGGGGCUCUCCGCGCGGCGGCGCAGGCCCGGGCUCCUUCUCUGCCCCUCGCUGGGCUCGGCCGAAUUCUGGCAGCCCGCAGACCAGGUGCCGCGCGAGACCUACGGGCCCGCAGGGGUGACAUCACCUGCCACCCCGGGAUCUCCAAGCGCAGUUUCGGGGGCCGGUGCGGCUGCCGGGCCCCUCCCCCAGGCGAGCCUGGGAGGCGGCGCUGACGGGGUUAAGGUCUUGCCGGCCGGCGGGCAGCCUUGGCUGCCCAGGGACUCUUGCCUUCCAAACCUCAACAACGCCUCGUCUAUCUAAACACCCUUGACCUAGCAGCUGGGCCGUUGCUGCCCUGGGCUCCAGGGAGCGGCGGCUGGAGAAAGGCCAGAGGCUGGGGAUGAGUGGGGGGCUGUGGGAGGACAAACUGGGGCCCAGGGGAGGCUCUGGCGUCUUGGCUGGGUCCCUUCCAGGGCCCCCUUCGGGGGAUUCCUAGCACAGCGCAGGAGGCCGUAGAUACACAGUCACACACGAACGGAGGGGAAGUCUGGGGUCAAGACGCCUCUUGCGACACAGAACCUUUAGAGACAAAAUCCCUCCUAAGACCUCACAAAAGCAGCGAAGAGAUGGGGCGGGGGUGCCUGUCCCCUGAGUGCUGGUUCUGUGAGACCCAAGGCAACUUGGAGUUCUGCAGGCUUCCUUAGGCUGAAGGAGUCCAGAGAAGGGGCUGGAGGGGCGGGGGUCAGCCUAGGGUGGUCCAGGACAGCAGGAGCUGAAGCUCCGGAGUCUAAGGGAAGGGAAGCAUUGGGCCGUUUAUGCAGGUUUUACUUAAGAUAGUGAGGUUUCUGAUAAGGGAGGUGACCCUCUCCACCCCCCACGCCCAAGCAGCGUAAGGGUAAAGCUGGGACCCAGCUCUACAGACGGGCCCACAAGCUGCGGCUCCCCCUGCCCUUUGUGGGGGGCAGUCUUGCCAGCACCCACAGAGCAUGAAGCAGGAGGCUUCCCAUCAUUCCAAACAACUGUGGCUCUAGUUAUUCUUAAGGGGAGAAGCACGCCCUCACCAUGGUGCAGAAAGGAAGCCCGCACCCAGCCCUGCAGCUGCUUGGGCAGAGGCCUGCGGAGCUGCCCCAGGGGACCACGGUGGCCACACAGCAGGUCAGGAGACGUGGCAGAAGAUGCUCUGGGUUGUGGAAAGCCUCCACAGCCCCUCCCUGCUCAGCUGCCACCCUCCCACCACUGCUGCCUCGCACACAGGGCUGGGAGGACGGAGCCGGCACCUGGAGCUUGGCGGAGAGGGAGGCGUACAUCUCCAGUGAGAUGCUCCAGAAAUAGAGCCCGGAUGGGAGAGGAAGCAAGUGGGCUCUCGGAGGAACCAGAGGGAGGACAGGGAUCAUGGAGGAGCAGAGAGGGGCCCAGGGCCUCUCUUCUUCCCACGUGGAACUCUCGGAAGGCACAGAACCCAGAGCCUCGGCCCUCUCUCUCCAUGCUGCAGGUAUUUUCCUGAUGGUCACAUCCGGACACUGGCUAUGAGCAGGCCAUGGAUGCAUAUUUCGGCGCGAAGUGCUCGGCCAGCAACGCCAGCCAGUCAGAGCAGCGGGGGCGCCUUCCCGUGGACCCUGAUUCAGCGAAGCGCAGACCCGUCCACACACUGAGGCACUGAGUCAGCACCCACCGCAAGGUGUCCUCCAAGCCCGCACGAACCAUUUGCUGUCCAGUCCUGUGAGUGAACGCUCCCCACCUUCCCCAGCCUCUCUCUGGCCUGUGUCCGCAGGCAGGCUCAGCUCCCCCCCCCCCCGACCACCAUGCCACCACGCCUGGCCAGGACUGCUGAUGAUGACGGACUGAGGGGGAAGAAGUUGUAUCCCAUCUGAAGGUCAGUGGCCUCGCACAUAAUUCCCAGGGGUGUGCUACCCACUGCCCCUCCAACAACCAACUCUUGUUUCUACUGGCCACUUGGCCAGGAUGGAAAACAGUGACUGUGCUGAGAACCCAAACUGGGUAUUUCCGCUUUUCUUCCCUCCUCACUGUUGGCAACCCAGCUCCACUGUGCACAACGAGAAGGAUCCCUGCACCCCAACCCUGAGUCUCUGCUGCCUCAGUCCCGCAGAGGACACUGCUGGUAAAGAGGAUCUCCAUUUGCCUCUCUCCACUCUGGGGCCAGCAGGGAGCGCCAGUGAGCAGAGGCUGGUGUACAGGCAGCCAGGAGGGUGGAGCUCUUUGCAUUCAAAUUUAAACAACAAAAAAACCACAAAGAAAGCAGACUGUGAUAGCUAAAGAAGCAAGAGUUUUCACCCUCCAUGGCAGAUCAGCUCUUCAAAAGCCGAGGCUUCAUCUCUUUUCACUGGAAUCCAGUGGAUGAACGAGACUCGGGUAGACCUCCGAAGCAGUGGUGACCACACUGUGCCCCCAGAUCAGCAUUCUGUCAAAAGCCCAGCAGAUUGGCACUCAAUAAAAUUAUAAAUAAAUAAAAUUAACCACAGCUGA